GUGCAAGCGUUAAUCGGAAUUACUGGGCGUAAAGGGUGCGUAGGCGGUUGUUUAAGUCUGUCGUGAAAUCCCCGGGCUCAACCUGGGAAUGGCGAUGGAUACUGGGCAGCUAGAGUGUGUCAGAGGAUGGUGGAAUUCCCGGUGUAGCGGUGAAAUGCGUAGAGAUCGGGAGGAACAUCAGUGGCGAAGGCGGCCAUCUGGGACAACACUGACGCUGAAGCACGAAAGCGUGGGGAGCAAACAGG
rnacentral:rRNA from 1 species